GGCCUGCUAGCUCAGUCGGUUAGAGCGUCGUGCUAAUGACGCGAAGGUCGUAGGUUCGAUCCCUGCGCAGGCCA
rnacentral:tRNA from 2 species